rnacentral:rRNA from 1 species
UGAAUACGAGAUGCUACGGCGUCGAAGCAGUCUAUGUCAUACUUCCAAGAAAAGCUUGCACUGUCAUAAACAAAUAAUGCCUGUACCAUAACCGACACAGGUGGGUAGGUAGAGUAUACUAAGGGGCGCGAGAUAACUCUCUCUAAGGAACUCGGCAAAAUGACUCCGUAACUUCGGGAGAAGGAGUGCCUUAUUUAUAAGGUUGCAAUAACAAGAUCCAAGCAACUGUUUACCAAAAACACAGGUCUCCGCUAAGUCGUAAGACGAUGUAUGGGGGCUGACGCCUGCCCAGUGCCAGAAGGUUAAAGAAGUUGGUUAGCAUCCGCGAAGCUGAUAACUGAAGCCCUGGUGAACGGCGGCCGUAACGAUAACGGUCCUAAGGUAGCGAAAUUCCUUGUCGGGUAAGUUCCGACCCGCACGAAAGGCGUAAUGAUUUGGAUACUGUCUCGGAGAGGGGCUCGGUGAAAUAGACUUGUCUGUGAAGAUGCGGACUACCUGCACCAGGACAGAAAGACCCUAUGAAGCUUUACUGUAACCUGAAAUUGAAAUUGGACUUUACUUGCGCAGUAUAGGUGGGAGGCGUUGAGAAUAUUCUUGCGGGAUUAUUGGAGCCAUCAGUGAGAUACCACUCUUGUAAUGUUAGAUUUCUAACUUUGUAUCAUUAUCUGGUCAAAGAACAGUUUCAGGCGGGCAGUUUGACUGGGGCGGUCGCCUCCUAAACGGUAACGGAGGCGCACAAAGGUUUCCUCUGAACGGGUAGAAAUCGUAUCUAGAGUGUAAAGGCAUAAGGAAGCUUGACUGUGAGACCUACAAGUCGAGCAGGGACGAAAGUCGGUCUUAGUGAUCUGACGGUGCUGAGUGGAAAGGCCGUCACUCAACGGAUAAAAGUUACUCUAGGAUAACAGGCUGAUCUCCCCCAAGAGUUCACAUCGACGGGGAGGUUUGGCACCUCGAUGUCGGCUCAUCGCAUCCUGGGGCGGUAGUACGUCCCAAGGGUUGGGCUGUUCGCCCAUGAAAGCGGUACGCGAGCUGGGUUCAGAACGUCGUGAGACAGUUCGGUCCAUAUUCGGUGUAGGCGUUAGAAUAUUGAGAGGAGCCUUCUUUAGUACGAGAGGACCGAGAAGGACAUACCUCUGGUGUACCAGUUAUCGUGCCAACGGUAAACGCUGGGUAGCUAUGUGUGGAGUGGAUAACCGCUGAAAGCAUCUAAGUGGGAAGCCCACCUCAAGAUAAGUAUUCUCGUG